rnacentral:rRNA from 1 species
UACGGAGGGAGCUAGCGUUGUUCGGAAAUACUGGGCGUAAAGCGCACGUAGGCGGCGCCGUCAAGUCAGGGGUGAAAUCCCGGGAGCUCAACUCCGGAACUGCCCUUGAAACUGCAGUGCUAGAAUCUUGGAGAGGCGAGUGGAAUUCCGAGUGUAGAGGUGAAAUUCGUAGAUAUUCGGAAGAACACCAGUGGCGAAGGCGACUCGCUGGACAAGUAUUGACGCUGAGGUGCGAAAGCGUGGGGAGCAAACAGG